rnacentral:misc_RNA from 1 species
UCCUGAUCUUUGGUAUCGUGUGUACUUUGCAUAAUAUCGAUACAUUGUUGAUAAUGUGAUUGUUGGUCCUGUUUUGUGAAAUUUGUUUUUGGCUCGAAUCAGUUUCGCUCUGUAAGAACUGAUCCAAGGUGUUUUUGUCUGCAUCUUUAAUCUAAAUUUGAAUAAUAUAGUGAUCGAUAUAAUAUUUGAGUGCUAAAAUAAGUAAGUUGGGUAUUGAUAUUUACGUACUAAAAUGUUUUUAUGUAUUGUUCAAGCGUUUUUUUCGUUUCGACCGGCAAAUAUUGUAAUUGUGGAUUUCAAUUUAAUUCCCAUUUAAGUGACAAAUCUAAACAUUAAUUGUAGAAUUAUACAAAACGCAUUACUUCAGAAAGCCCUUAAUUUGAUAUUAAACGUGCAAUAUAAGUUUUCUUAGACAAUAGCAUUUUCGACCGCCUCGCCUUGCACAGUAUUCUUGAGCGAAACUCCUUUGUAAGUUGGCGGCCCUCGGCCGCGCUUUGGAUUAUAGACCUGGACCUAACCAACACCGGCUUCGCCUUGCACAGUAUUCUUGAGUGAAACACUUUUACUAACUAGGUAAAUUUACGAGUAUGAAUAUGGUUAGUGCUCGUUAUUAGCACAAUUAAAACGAAAUUUUUCGCGUUGUUAAAAAGACUGCAAAGUGUUACACAAUAACUUAAAGAUAUUUUUAUAAUCUUUUUAAUUAAUAUUGUUUUAAGAUGGAUUUAUCA